GGCAAGCAUGAUGUCCUACAGAUGGUGGCAGGUGCUUUCUGCAGCCCACAUCUCUGGCCCUGGUGUAAACCAGAGAAGAUCACCAUCAGCACUAGGGAUAAUGCACUGAUCUGCUGACUUUAAGAAGGAUCCUGUUUUCGGACUGACUUCUUCAAAGGGGUAGCGUCUGCGUUGGCAAGGUGAUUACAGCCCAAGCUCACAGCUGAUUUGGAAAACUUCAGUCCCAAAAGACGACUUUUUUUUCCCCUCCUCUGCAGGAUGCUUUCGCUUGAAACAUCUGGGAUGGGUCAGAAAGGACUUGAAAAGCUUGGAUUAUUCUCUCUUCUGCGUGGACCAGAGAAUGAUCAGGAAGGCCUGCAGCUAAGCCAGCUUUAAAGCCACGGUAUAGUUGAUUUGGGCUCAGAAAGCUCAACUUGU
rnacentral:lncRNA from 10 species